rnacentral:lncRNA from 1 species
AAUGCUAAAUUCAACCGUGCGGGACACUAGUAAAUCGUGCCACUACACACCUCCAUACACUGUUGUCAGAACGCACAUGUGCUACCAUCAGAACUGCCAUGCGUAGCCAUAAAUCACUUAGUAAUCACAAUAUAAUUGUCGCACGAGUUCAGAUCUGCUUCAUCUCCCUCUCACGCAUAAAUCCCUAUAGUUGGAUCGUCACAAGCCUAUGUUGCGAGCACAAAUCAACAUUCUCUCUCCAGGCAGUACUGCCGCACGCAAGUCCUUCUUUGGGCAGAUCCACCGGUAGCAGCUCUUCCUUUCAAGCUUAGAUUUGCACGGGCAUGCUGCCCUGCCCUUUGCUCACCCCCGCUACAACCUGCCUCACAUAAAUCAAAUAUGCUACGACCUCCUCUCUCUUUCUCUCU